AUAGGUGAGUAAUGCAUCGGGACCUACCCAGACGUGGGGGAUAACCUCGGGAAACCGGGACUAAUACCGCAUACGUCCUACGGGAGAAAGCGGGGGACCUUCGGGCCUCGCGCGGCUGGACGGACCGAUGUGCGAUUAGCUAGUUGGUAGGGUAAUGGCCUACCAAGGCGACGAUCGCUAGCUGGUCUGAGAGGAUGAUCAGCCACACUGGGACUGAGACACGGCCCAGACUCCUACGGGAGGCAGCAGUGGGGAAUAUUGGACAAUGGGCGCAAGCCUGAUCCAGCAAUGCCGCGUGUGUGAAGAAGGCCUUCGGGUUGUAAAGCACUUUUAUCAGGAACGAAAUACCACGGGUUAAUAACCUAUGGGGCUGACGGUACCUGAGGAAUAAGCACCGGCUAACUUCGUGCCAGCAGCCGCGGUAAUACGAAGGGUGCAAGCGUUAAUCGGAAUUACUGGGCGUAAAGGGUGCGUAGGCGGUUCGUUAAGUCUGUCGUGAAAUCCCCGGGCUCAACCUGGGAAUGGCGAUGGAUACUGGCGAGCUAGAGUGUGUCAGAGGAUGGUGGAAUUCCCGGUGUA
rnacentral:rRNA from 1 species